ACAGGAGCUUGCUCCUGAAUUCAGCGGCGGACGGGUGAGUAAUGCCUAGGAAUCUGCCUGGUAGUGGGGGACAACGUUUCGAAAGGAACGCUAAUACCGCAUACGUCCUACGGGAGAAAGCAGGGGACCUUCGGGCCUUGCGCUAUCAGAUGAGCCUAGGUCGGAUUAGCUAGUUGGUGAGGUAAUGGCUCACCAAGGCGACGAUCCGUAACUGGUCUGAGAGGAUGAUCAGUCACACUGGAACUGAGACACGGUCCAGACUCCUACGGGAGGCAGCAGUGGGGAAUAUUGGACAAUGGGCGAAAGCCUGAUCCAGCCAUGCCGCGUGUGUGAAGAAGGUCUUCGGAUUGUAAAGCACUUUAAGUUGGGAGGAAGGGCAUUAACCUAAUACGUUAGUGUUUUGACGUUACCGACAGAAUAAGCACCGGCUAACUCUGUGCCAGCAGCCGCGGUAAUACAGAGGGUGCAAGCGUUAAUCGGAAUUACUGGGCGUAAAGCGCGCGUAGGUGGUUUGUUAAGUUGGAUGUGAAAGCCCCGGGCUCAACCUGGGAACUGCAUUCAAAACUGACAAGCUAGAGUAUGGUAGAGGGUGGUGGAAUUUCCUGUGUAGCGGUGAAAUGCGUAGAUAUAGGAAGGAACACAGUGGCGAAGGCGACCGCCUGGACUGAUACUGACACUGAGGUGCGAAGCGUGGGGAGCAAACAGGAUUAGAUACCCUGGUAGUCCACGCCGUAAACGAUGUCAACUAGCCGUUGGGAGCCUUGAGCUCUUAGUGGCGCAGCUAACGCAUUAAGUUGACCGCCUGGGGAGUACGGGCGCAAGGUUAAAACUCAAAUGAAUUGACGGGGGCCCGCACAAGCGGUGGAGCAUGUGGUUUAAUCCGAAGCAACGCGAAGAACCUUACCAGGGCUUGACAUCCA
rnacentral:rRNA from 1 species